rnacentral:rRNA from 1 species
CAGCAGCCGCGGUAAUACGUAGGGGGCAAGCGUUAUCCGGAAUUAUUGGGCGUAAAGCGAGCGCAGGCGGUUAGAUAAGUCUGAAGUUAAAGGCUGUGGCUUAACCAUAGUACGCUUUGGAAACUGUUUAACUUGAGUGCAGAAGGGGAGAGUGGAAUUCCAUGUGUAGCGGUGAAAUGCGUAGAUAUAUGGAGGAACACCGGUGGCGAAAGCGGCUCUCUGGUCUGUAACUGACGCUGAGGCUCGAAAGCGUGGGGAGCAAACAGGAUUAGAUACCCGCGUAGUCCCUGUCUCUUAUACA